CGUAUGCUGAAAUAUCGUUCCAAAAUCAAUUUGCAUCUCUCUAUGCUAUUUUUGCAACCAAACAGAAAUCUCUCGAGCCUCGUAUCACCCAUAUGGUUAGGCAGAUGAGGUUGUUUCGAGAGCCAAUCGCGUAAAGCAGCCACAUCGCGUUUCUUCGUUUCUGGAUCUGUCGAAACCUCCUCGUUUAUCCGUUUCUGUUGUUCUGCCGUCGGUGGUAGCAAUGUCAUAGCGAACUGUAAUCCGACGAAUUAAAAAAUAUCGAAUUCAUUAUCAUAAAUUGUAAUGCUUUAAUCUUUAAUUACAUUUACAGAACCCUAUCUAUUUUCAUUGUUGACGCAAUUC